AAAUAUCCGGGGCUCAAGUACAGAACCGAAGUCGCGGCAUGCGGAGUGUCAUCUACAGAGUAACUGAGAGGGCAGAUGCGAAGGAUUCAGUGUCAGAUGCGAGGAAGAGGAGCGAGUCAUAGCGGUGGUUAUGGCGAGUGACGAUGACGACGCAGAUGGCAGUGAAGACGAGCAGAUGCACUCAGGUGUUCUGUAGAUGACACACCCAUGGGUAGGGGAGCGUUCCAAGUUGGUUGAAGGCGGACCGUAAGGACAGCUGGACGACUUGGAAGUGAGAAUGCUGGUAUGAGUAGCGAAACGAUCCGUGAGAAUCGGAUCCACCGAAAGCCUAAGGGAUCCUGAGCAACGCUCGUCGACUCAGGGUAAGUCGGGACCUAAGCCGAGGCACCAAGCAUAGGCGAUGGACAACAGGCGAAAAUUCCUGUACUGCAUGAUGUUGUUUGAGGAUGGAGUGACACAGCAAGGAGCUUGAGCGCGCGAUUGGAAAUGCGCGUCGAAGGCGGUAGGCUGAUGUAGAGGCAAAUCCCUGCAUCAAGGCCGAGAACUGAUAGAUAGGAGCGUACUUCGGUACAAUCCAAAUUCAAGCGUACUACACUGUCGAGAAAAGCUUCUAACGAGACAUCAUGUACCCGUACCAAAACCGACACAGGUAGGCGGGGAGAGAAUCCUAAGGUGCGCGGGAAAACCCUCGUUAAGGAACUCGGCAAAAUGCAUCCGUAACUUCGGGAGAAGGAUGGCCGGAGCUGGUGAAGACCUUCGCGGUUGGAGCUGGAGCCGGCGGCAGAAGAGAAGCCCAAGCGACUGUUUACCACAAACACAGGUGCCUGCUAAAGAGAAAUCUGACGUAUAGGUGCUGACACCUGCCCGGUGCUGGAAGGUUAAGAGGAGAGGUUAUUCGCAAGAAGAAGCUUUGAAUUGAAGCCCCAGUAAACGGCGGCCGUAACUAUAACGGUCCUAAGGGAGCGAAAUUCCUUGUCGGGUAAGUUCCGACCCGCACGAAAGGUGUAACGACUUGGGCACUGUCUCAACGAGGGACCCGGUGAAAUUGAAAUACCUGUGAAGAUGCAGGUUACCCGCGACUGGACAGAAAGACCCCAUGGAGCUUUACUGCAGCCUGACAUUGAUUUUUGGCAUGUAACGUACAGGAUAGUUGGGAGACGGAGAAGAUAGGCCCCCAGGCUUAUCAGAGUCGCUGUUGGGAUACCAACCUUUAUGUGCUAGGGAUCUAACUCGAGAAGUAACGAAGCUGAGGACAGUAUCAGGUGGGCAGUUUGACUGGGGCGGUCGCCUCCGAAAGAGUAACGGAGGCGUCCAAAGGUUCCCUCAGCGCGGACAGAAAUCGCGCGAAGAGUAUAAAGGCAGAAGGGAGCUUGACUGCGAGACAUACAGGUCGAGCAGGUACGAAAGUAGGGCUUAGUGAUCCGGUGG
rnacentral:rRNA from 1 species